GCUACUCCUGCUUCGUUAACGCGGUGGACUUGUGGGCAGUAUGUUGUCCAGAGUAAACGGUAUACUGGGCUGCCUCUGCCGGGUUAACAGGUUUGAGGCUUCAGACAUAUGGGUUUUCUCCGGGUACUCCGGUUUCCUCCCAAAUGAAGACCCCCCGCGCGCUAACAUCCAGGCCAAAAAUAGUUAUGAAUAUAAGUGGAAUUAAGUAGUUUCAUAACUGUUAUGAAAUUAAAAAAAAAGUUAUUAUUU